AUACUUUCUGCUCAAUGCUAAUACAGUAAAUUGCCGCAGUAUAUUAACUGUGCUAAGGUAGCAUAAUCAUUUGUCUAUUAAUUGUAGACUAGUAUAAAUGAAAUAAUGUGAUUCUUACUGUCUCAUAAAAUAAAACAUAAACUUAUCUAGAAGUGAGGAAGCUUUUAUUUUCCUGUAAGACAAGAAGACCCCGUGAAGCUUAGAUUAAAUAUGUUAUACCAUCAUAUAAGAAUUUAGUUGGGAUAAUUUUUAUAUAUUAAUUUAUUUUUAUAGAGGCGAUUAACAAUUCAAUUAAUAUUGAUCCAUAAGAAGUGAUUACUGAAUAAAGUUACUCCGGGGAUAACAGACUAAUUUUCUUUAAAAGUUCAUAUUUAAAAGAGAGAUUAGUACCUCGAUGUUGGCUUAUAAAAAAUUUUAAAGCAGAAAUUAAGAUAACGGGUUUGUUCAACCCAUAAA
rnacentral:rRNA from 1 species